rnacentral:rRNA from 1 species
ACUGCUAUCGGGGUCCGACUAAGCCAUGCGAGUCAAGGGGCUCCCCUUUUGGGGAGCACCGGCGAACGGCUCAGUAACACGUGGCUAACCUACCCUCGGGUGGGGGAUAACCUCGGGAAACUGAGGCUAAUCCCCCAUAGGGGAGGAGGUCUGGAAUGAUCCCUCCCCGAAAGCCCGUAAGGGCGCCCGAGGAUGGGGCUGCGGCGGAUUAGGUAGUUGGUGGGGUAACGGCCCACCAAGCCUACGAUCCGUACGGGCCCUGAGAGGGGGAGCCCGGAGAUGGACACUGAGACACGGGUCCAGGCCCUACGGGGCGCAGCAGGCGCGAAACCUCCGCAAUGCGCGAAAGCGCGACGGGGGGACCCCGAGUGCCCUCCCUCUGGGAGGGCUUUUCCGGAGUGUAAACAGCUCCGGGAAUAAGGGCUGGGCAAGUCCGGUGCCAGCAGCCGCGGUAAUACCGGCGGCCCAAGUGGUGGCCACUGUUAUUGGGCCUAAAGCGUCCGUAGCCGGCCCGGUAAGUCCCUGCUUAAAUCCCGCGGCUUAACCGCGGGGCUGGCAGGGAUACUGCCGGGCUAGGGACCGGGAGAGGCCGGGGGUACCCCAGGGGUAGCGGUGAAAUGCGUUGAUCCCUGGGGGACCACCUGUGGCGAAGGCGCCCGGCUGGAACGGGUCCGACGGUGAGGGACGAAGGCCGGGGGAGCAAACCGGAUUAGAUACCCGGGUAGUCCCGGCUGUAAACUCUGCGGACUAGG